AGAGAUUCUUCCUCAUAUUUUCUUUUCUCUAUUUAUCCUAAGCAAAAUCCAGAAGCUUCAACCUUCUUUCUCUUAUUUUCUCGUGGAUGAAUUGGUCUUGGGCGUCAUUUUUCUCUCGUGCAAAAUUCUCACUUAGGGAGGGUUUUCUUCUGUUUUUCUUUCUUCUAAUUCAAGUUCGCGUGGAGGGAGAGGAACCAUUCUUCUCUUAUAUGCUUCAAGUUCGCGCAUCAACCCUAUUUGUAGAGGGUUCUCUUUAGCCCAAAGGAAUUUUGGUUUUCUUUUUGGGGUUUUAUUGAUCUUGUUUGCGAAAUUGGAAAUGAGAAUUUAGGAUUUUUCGUCGAGGUACUGACAUCUCGUGCGUGAUAGUAGAAAUUGGAUGGUCCAAUAGUGGCCCGACAAUGGGUGGAAACAAAACUGUCCACUUAGAACUCGCUAGGAUAGGCUAUAACCUGGCUGUGAUACCAUAUUAGAAGUGGGUUUUAGGCCUAACUCAAUCCCACAAAACCGGCUUGUAAGGUGAGGUUUGCACCUCACUUAUAUAUUAUAAUUUGGCCUUAUCUCUAGUCGAUGUGAGACUUCCAACACACUCCCUUCACGUCGAGGUACUGACAUCUCGUGCGUGAUAGUAGAAAUUGGAUGGUCCAAUAGCGGCCCGACAAUGGGUGGAAACAGAAAUGUCCACUUAGAACUCGCUAGGAUAGGCUCUAACCUGGUUGUGAUACCAUAUUAGAAGUGAGUUUUAGGCCUAACUCAACCCCAC
rnacentral:lncRNA from 1 species